UCUGCUCAUCUGAGGACGAUCGAUGAAGCGGCGAGUAAAAUUUUAAUUUGUUCAACCGGCACGGCAGUCUUUUUAAUUUUAUUUUUUAACGAAAAAGCUAAGUUUUAAGCCACAAUCAUGGUAUUAGCCCAUGACAUUAACGAGGGCAAUAGAACGUGUGAUGUGCAGAUAGUUCAAAAUGUUACUUUUGAAUCAAUGCUGCUAGCACCUAAUACUUUGCAGGGAUUAAAACAAUCCGGUUUUUAUAAACCCUCACCAGUUCAACUACACGGCAUUCCAUUAGGAAAAUGUGGAUUUGAUCUAUUACUAGAAGCUAAAUCUGGAACUGGAAAAACCGCCGUAUUUUCUGUUAUAUCUCUUGAGACAUUGGAUCUAGGCAAAGGAGUGCAAGUAAUAAUACUAGCACCAACUAGAGAAAUUGCUUUCCAAAUAUGUGAUGUCAUCAAACAAAUAGGAUCCCAUUAUAAAGGUUUGGCUGUUGAGGUUGUGAUUGGAGGGCUUCCAGUGGAAGAAGAUAUCCGCAAAUUUGAAAAGAAUGUUCAUGUAGUUGUGGGCAGCCCUGGAAGGUUACGCCAUUUGAUUCAAUCUAAAUACAUAGACGUUUCUUCUGUGAGACUUCUAAUCCUUGAUGAGGCUGAUAAAUUAAUGGAGAAAAGCUUUCAGGCAGAUGUAAACUAUAUUUUUUCAACAUUACCUGCCCAAAAACAAGUCAUCAUGAGUAGUGCUACAUAUUCUGAAUCUACUAAAGAAUUUAUCACCAAAUAUAUCAAAUGUGCUCAACAUGUAUGCCCAGAUAUCAGUUGUAUACUAUUGGGUGUAGAGCAAAAAAAAACUGUUGUAAAUUGCAACAGUAAUAUUGUUAGGCAAACUAAAAAUAGAUUUCAGGAAUUGUUAAAAAUAUUAACCAAAAAGCAAUUUAAACAGUGCCUGAUAUUUUGUAACUAUCAGGCAAGAGUGGCUGAAUUACACAAAUUACUAUCACGACAAAAUUGGCCUGUUGAACAAUUACGUGGACAGCAAGAUCAGACAGAUCGUCUUGAUGCAUUGAAAAUAUUAAAAGAAUAUAAGUGUAGAAUAUUGGUGUCUACUGAUUUGGCUGCAAGAGGAAUAGAUGCUUCAAAUGUUGACCUAGUCAUUCAUUUUGAACCACCUAGUGAAUGGCAAACAUAUUUGCAUCGAAUAGGCAGAGCAGGUCGUUAUGGCUCAUAUGGUUUGUCUAUUGCAAUACUUAGUGAAGGCAAAGAAGAAGUUCAAUUUGAAAAUAUGAUACAAGCAAUAAACCUCAAUAAUUUAAAAGUCACCAAUUUAUGGGCAGAUGAGUCUGAAAACAGUGCCAGUAAUGUAAACCUGCCCCUGUCCCUUACAAAGCAAAACAAUUUAACUGCUGGUGAAUUGGAAGCGGUGUCCAAAGAAGUAUGGGAUGAUCUGUUAUGUCUAAACAGUAAUAAAGAAAAAUUGGAAGAAUUUGAUAAAUUACGUGAAUCAUUUGAAGAAUCUAAAAUUUUUAAAAUUGAAUCAUUCACUGAUUUAAUUAACUCAUUUGAAGAAAAUAAAGAUGAUACUUCUAAUACAGAUAUUUCUCACAAUUUGCUAAAAAUAAUACCCAAAACAUCAAUAAAACAUUUUUAUGAAUCAGUAAAAUCGUUGGUAAAUGGUCAGAAGCCUAAACCCAAUGAAAAAGAUAUGUCCAGAAUGGAAUCAAACAAUAAUUCAUUAGAUGUUCUUAAUAAUGGGAAAAAACAAACAUUCAAUCCAAGAACAGAUAAUUUCAUUUCAGAAAAUAAUAAUAUUAAUGCUCUUAAUCCAUUAGAUGAUUUUACAAAUACUGAUGCAUGUUCUAGUAAAGAUCUUAUAGAUGCAGGUCUUCCAUCCUCAUUUGGUACUUCAAAAGGUCGUUACUCUAAGAAAACAAAUAGAAAAAAAUAUAUCAAAAACCGUCAUAUAACGACCGACAAUGGCGAAGAAUUACAAAGCAAACAAUAUGAAGUCAAAAAUGACCAACAAUAUAAACAAACAACUGAUCGUAAAAUUAAGAAAGAAUCAACUUAUGAACCUCAAGAAUCACAGUCUCCAAUAAUAAUCAGAAAUAAUAAUUACGGUAAUCAUGCAUCUAAAAAGAAAGUAAAUAUAAACAUGAAAAAAGUUCAAAGUGACUCAACUAAUUCUGAUGAUAGUGAUACAUUGCAUGAGAAUCAUUAUGUUUAUCAGGAAAAGUACACUGAAGAUUACAAAAGUUGGUAUUAUCAGUUAAAAAAUAGAGUUAAAUUAAUUGAAAUUGCUCUUUAUAUUGAAGAAUUAAGCAACAUGUAAUCACAUUUUAUGCUUUCAAUAAAACAAAUUAAUUACCAAAAAACUGUUUAUUUCCCACUCUCACAAAUUAUUAUGUCUAGCAACAUUUUUUUUACAAGUACAUUGUUUUAAUAAUUACCAUCAGCCUACACUGACUUAUCAGGGGGUGUAACAAUAUGAUACUAUAAAGUAAUUCAUGUACCUGUUCGGAAUGAACAAUACAAUGGAAACCAGAACAAAACCUAUGCACUAGUACUGUAGUGUAAUAUAAUUAAUGUGUGGGAUACUCUUUUAUACACCCUUUUUUCAGGUCAAUUACAAAGUUUAUAGCAAACACCUCAAGAGGUAUGACAUCUUAAAUCUGCACUGGGGAGUGUAGAGAUAAUAUGUAAAUGACUGACUCAGUGGGGAAGAUACUUAACAUACAAAGGACACUAUAACCUUCUCAUCCACUCAUAAACUGUCGUGAGACUGAUAGCAGAUAAAGCACAAAAAAAUGUAGGACUGUUCUGUUGCUAUCUCUCAGAAGGUAGUAUGUCCUUGUCCUGUUUUGAAUAUAUUAAGCAGUUCUACUGUUUUGCCUAGGGGUCUGUCCCAUUAAUUAAAAUUCCAGGACUAGGUUGUUCCAAUAUGCAAAAAAUAUUUUUUUAUUAUUAUUCUGUGACGCUAGGCACAUAGCACACACCGCCCUCAACCGUAGUAUGUAAAUAAAAAUUAUAAAAGACCAUAAUAUAAAACAUUAACUAAUAAAAAUAAUGCAUCAAAUCAUGUAAAAAUAAGAACACCUCUCUUUUUAAAAGACUAGUCUUAUCAUGCUAAUAACAAUAACAAAACUGAUUUGAUCCUGUGGGUUGAAUUCACUUUAGAAUUCAAUUUGCAUAAUUUAUUUCAUUAACAUUAAUGAAAAUAAUUUUCUCACCAAGCAAGAUGAUGCCUCAUUGGUAUUCAGAGGGAAGGUAUUCAUCACAUCACGUCAUAUAGGUACAUAUACCUAAUGUAAUUUUGCACUGCGUCCAAUACGAUAUAUUAUUAUGAUCCGUCAAAAUACGGAUCUAGGAAAGUAAUAAGAGAUUAGAGAAUAUGGUUAUCGGAAAUCGAACCUAGUG